rnacentral:lncRNA from 1 species
AGAACCUCUCAGUGAGGGGAAGAAACAGACUAAGAGUAGGCUCAUACCGCACUCUUCUACCAACUGACAAUACUUUUAAAAUACAAAACAAGAUUAGCUCAGCCAGUUAAUCUUUUUAUUUUGAGUUUUGUAAAAAAAAAAAAAAAAAUCCUUGAGAAAAAAUGUGUUAAAUAUCAGUAAAGAGCAGGAAAACAUGUGGCUAGCUUUACGCUAUCAAGCUAAACAUAUACACAAAGGCGAACAUUAAGUAAAAUACUAGGGAAAGGUAGCACGUUGGGGCCUAACUGCAGUUUUCCUUAUUGCACAGAAAGAUUGCUGAUAACUCCAAGUCUUCACUUUUUCACAGUUAAACAUACUUUACUAUUAUUUUAUCUAACAUGAUUUAUAUAACAUAACGUUAAUUGUAUAAAACCACCAGUUUGCUACUGUCGAAUGCAAGUAGAAGACAACGUUCUUCCCAAUUGCAGUAUGUAAGCUCUCUAUAAAAAGUUCCCCAGAUCACAUCAUCCCCUGUUAAAUUCAUCCUAUUUAAAAAAUUGCUUUUCAGCUAUUAAAUGAAUCUUGGUGGCCUUCUCACUUAAUCAUUUUAAUGGACAUAGUAAAACUUCCUAAGAAGUACCAGAUGUAUUUUAUGUAAAAAAUAAAAAGACAACCUAGGAGGAGGUGAGGCUACCAUGAAGUCACACUUUGAGUGAUUUCAGUGAUAAAUCCCAAAUCCACAGACUUAAGACCCACACAACUGAAAAGCAUUCCUCUGCUUCUCGAAAGCCCACAACUGGAAUAAAUAAUCACAGCGAGGCUCAGCCCCCAGAUGCCCAUCAGCUGGAUAGCGCCCCAGUAACGCUGGCAUCUGAACUUUUUUAAGUGCUUUAGACAGCAGAUGUAGAGUUCUUCACGCUGUUUACAAGUCCUUUUCUGAGUUCCUCCACCAUACACAGGCCCAGAUAAUUUUCCACCGGCCAAGAGUCAAACUGACUGUGACAUUGGGUAAUUCUGUUAACCCUUUUUAAAAGGUGGCCAUCAGAAAUGAGAAGUGACCUCAGACCUUUUCAAAAGGUAGAACAAGCAGGCCUGCCUUCUCAUCUUCUCCAAGGCAUGUGGAGCUGAAAACUGGCGGCCUGUACAUUCCAUGUGGGCCGUGGUUACAGUAUACCCUGCUUACCAAAAUAAAACUGAUAUCGAGAACUUUGGUUUUGCUCUUUAAAGUUUCUGCUAGCACUGGGUGACAAGAUGUGUUUGUUAACUAAAAAAAACUACUUAUAAAAAUUGAAACUGGAAAAUAAUGGUUUAUUUCUAGGUCUUGCUUUGAAAGGAUUGUCAAAGAGCCUCCUUGCUUCUCCUAUUAGACACUAGCAUUGGUUUCUAGAGCAUUUCUCUGCACACUGUGGUCAUUCGGGUUUAGAAAGGGGGGAAGUCUUUUCAGGUGUGAAAGCCGUGAAAGCAGCAUUCACAUGGGUUUGUUUCUAAACUCUAACUCUUGGCCACCAGAUUCCUUCAAUCUCCUGUGUCAGCACACAGCAGCUGACGCUGGCAGGCCAGGUUCUCACUUAAAAAACAAGAUAAGAGAUCAGAAUUCAAUGAUAGCAGCCUUAUGCAUUUGACAGACUAGCUCCCCCACUAACUCAUCUACAGAAUCAACAGCAAACAGCAGGCACGAAACUUGUCAAGUUCCCCAUUUCUCAAGUGGAAGAAGUCAUGCUUAUGAAAUCAGCAAGCUGACUUUCCAGCAGCCCUCAUUCCACAUAGCAUUUUACAGCAGAUGGUAAAAUCAGCUUCUGACACACCUCUU